UACGUAGGGGGCUAGCGUUGUCCGGAUUUAUUGGGCGUAAAGAGCGUGUAGGCGGCCAGGUAGGUCUGCUGUGAAAACUCGAGGCUCAACCUCGAGACGUCGGCGGAAACCAUCUGGCUAGAGUCCGGAAGAGGAGAGUGGAAUUCCGUGGAUGUAGCGGUGGAAUGCGCAGAUAUCAGGAGGAACACCGGUGGCGAAGGCGGGUCUCUGGGCAGUAACUGACGCUGAGGAGCGAAAGCGUGGGGAGCGAACAGG
rnacentral:rRNA from 1 species